rnacentral:lncRNA from 1 species
UUAUAUAAGUGACGUCUUUGCAUUAAGCAAGCUUUUGAGUAUCUGUUCACUAAUAAACUGCAACUCAAGCAGCUAACCAGGUCUGGAGUUGUAGUCGGGGAGUCCAGACGUGUAUAUUGCUUGUCAGUAAACAGUUUACCAGUCUUCUGCUAAACCUUUGCUUGAUAUUCCAAACCUUUGAGAGUUAAAUGAUGUCUACGGCAGAGGUCAAAAUUUCAGCUGUUGUUUAUUGGAUCUCUUCUCUUCGUAAGCCUAUUCAGAUACAGUGACAUGGGUAUUAUAAUUAUUUUUUUGAUUAUUUAUAAUAACAUUAGGUUUUGAUGAUGAACAAUGGAUAUGACACACUUAAAUCACCCACUUGACUUGCUUACUUAUGCAUCAAAUGGUUUAAUUUGUCUUCUCUGUUCAAUGACUGUAGUUCGUAGUUAUUAUUUUAAUCUGUGCUGGAAUGUUCCAUCACAGGGUCCAAUGCGUGUGUCUUCCCUGAUUAAUUGUACUCAUCACUGUGAUCCCAACAGGUAUAUGUGAAUUUCUCUUGUGCAAAAGUAUAAAACUCUUUCCAAUUCACCUCUCCCGAGCUUUACUUCUGGAGAGACUUGUUUGAGGUGCUUUGGUAGCAAGACAAAUAUAUUCUGAGAAAUCAGGUUGCCUGAUUGGGUCGUAUCUGAGUUUGGUAACUUGGCAUCCAUUUGGUCAAUUCAUUGCUUGUUUUGGUGAUGGAGAUAAUCCGACAAAUGAGUUUUAUUGGGAAAACAAGACGAAUGUUAGAUCUAGUGAAAAUGUCCUGGGGAUGGCAUUGAGUUUUAACGGGAAAACAGUGUUGGAAGAACAACUUAAGCAAAUCUGAGCAAGAAAGCAAGCAUUCAGAAAACAUACAUGAAAUGUUCACCGUCAAAUAAAGAUGGUUGUUCAAGAUCUGAGGCUUUUGAUACCUUGUGUUAAUUAACGGGAAGCAAGGUGAAGGUGAUUGGAAACAUAUAACGGGAGGCUUUUUUUAAUGGAUCAUUCUAGAUAUCUGCUCUCCGAGAAUAAGAUGAAGAAAGCCUUAACUAUUUGUUACGAUGAUAUAAAUUUCAAAUAAUAAUGCACUGAUAGAAAUCUCCCUCCUUUGCGCAAGAGAUCCUGUUAUGCGCAAGUAUAUGGUAUAAUUUGCUUGUGGAAUGCUGUUAAUGGUGUACACUGCAUAUAUCCGCAGCAGACCUGCAGGUAUCCAAGGGAGAUUUAUCCAUGUAAUCCUCUGGUUGAAAGAUAUAAAAUUCUUCCGGACAUGGAUGUGGUGCUGUAGUUUUGGUUUUGUACCAGAAGUUAACGAUUAUUGGCAAAUAUGAUGGUAGUAGGUCAGUGAUGAUUUAUGUGUAUAGUCUAAAAGUGCUAGGGAUGGGAUAAGGGACCCAGUUCUGUUGACAUUUAAGAGAAGGGCACGGAAGACAUAAGAAUUAAUUAGUAAGGGCAAAGAAGUAACUUCCAGGGUGAUUGAAUAUAAGGCAAGCUUUUUGGGAAUUAGGGCAUGGAAAAUUGACAGUGCAAGUUGUUAUAGGAGAUUCUCACCUCUCGAAGUGUGAGGCGUCGUUCUGUGACGUUCUUUAUCUAUCUAUUGUCUCAGCUGUGAACAAUCUUUAGUAUUAUUAACAGUAAUCAAGGCUCUACAGGCCCUUUUCCGUAGUAAUUCAUAGCAAAGUGGUAUCAGAGCGGUAACGAUCUAGUGGAUUAUGGGGGCGCCGCCAUCAAAUCUGUAUCGUAUUGAGUUGUUGGAGCAAGGUCUGGGUGACCUUCGCACUACGAUGGUUGACCAGAUCUCAGCUGCGGUCAAUACCGCCACCGCGGAGCUGCAACGUUCGUUGGUGGAGCAGCUGUCUAAAUCUCUUGAUCAAACGACCCAGCGCCUCGAGGACCGCCUUGCAAGAGCAAAGGAGAGGCAGGAUGCCUUAUUAGUCACUUUGAAAACAGAUCAGGAGAAGUUUCAGUCGGAGAUGCGUUCCUCGAUCUCCUCUUUAAAGGCGGAUGGGUCGGCUAUUGGCGACAUCGCUACCGGGAUGCCACUGUCUCAUGGUGGGAACGGAGGUGGAAGUGUGCAUCGGGGAGGGGGUUCCUCAAACGGGUCGGGUCGAAUUUUCUCGGAUUCGGGUCAACCCAAUCAUUCUUCUGGGGGCGGUGUUAACUAGCGAUUCAAAAAACUAGAUCUACCCACUUUUGAAGGGGAUAAUCCAGAUGGCUGGAUACUACGGGCUGAACGGUAUUUUCAUUUUUACCGGCUGAGUGAUGAGGAGCAAUUAGAGGCAGCCAUAGUUUCCUUAGAUGGGGAUGCUCUCUUGUGGUACCAAUGGGAGCAUGGCCGCCGUCCCAUCACCCGUUGGGAGGAGCUCAAGCGUAUGUUGUUGCAUCAAUUCCGCCCAUGCUCUGCGGGCAGCCUCCACGAGCAGUGGUUGAAUCAUUCUCAAACAGCUGGGGUGAUAGAGUAUCGUAGGAAGUUCAUUGAGCUGAUGGCUCCGUUGAUGGGGGUACCGGAAGAGAUCGCAAAAGGCCAAUUCAUUUCGGGGUUGAAGGAGGAUAUACGCGCCGAGGUGCGUUUACUUAGCCCUCGUAGCCUUGAUCAAGCAAUGGAGUUGUCGGUUAAAGUUGAGGAUAAGCUCCGUAGCUCUAUUAAAUUUCAGUCACGUGGGGAGUUCAAGAAAACAGGGUCUAUGUCGUCCUAUUCUAGUAAUUCGACUCACUCUUUUUCUCCCAGUACACGUACUUCGUCUUUGUACUCUUAUGCAUCAUCCUCCCCAACCCAAAGCAGUGCUUCUCUACCCGUUGCUAAACCAGUUGGGGAAGUUAAACGUCUAUCCGACACUGAAUUACAGAGUAAGAGGGCGAAAGGCGAAUGUUUCCGUUGUGAUGAAAAAUGGUCCAUUGGGCAUCGGUGUAAGCGUCGGGAGUUGAGUGUGUUGUUGAUGGAAGGGGAUGAGUUGGAGAAUGAGGAGGACAAGGAUGUCGGGGUGGCAGUUUCGCCAGAGUUACAAGAUCCGGACCCUGCGAAACCAGAAAUCUCUUUGAAUUCUGUGGUGGGUAUUACGAGUCCGAAAACUAUGAAGUUGCUGGGAGAAAUCGAAGGUCAUCAGGUAGUAGUGAUGGUGGAUCCCGGGGCGACACACAAUUUUGUGUCCCUUGAGACAGUGCAAAAGCUGGGAUUAUCCGUGAAUAAGUUGAAAUGUUUUGGGGUUUCACUAGGUACGGGAGCAGAUGUUCAGGGGGCGGGAGAAUGCAAAUCAGUGGUUCUUCAUUUGCAGGGGGUUACAAUUAUUGAAGAUUAUCUAACUCUGCCUCUUGGAAAUUCGGAUGUGAUAUUGGGUGUACAGUGGUUGGAGAAGUUAGGCACCGUCUCUACAAAUUGGAAAACACAGACCCUGCGUUUCAAGUUGGGAGUGGACUCUGUGACCCUCAAAGGAGACCCGUCCUUGGGCCGGUCUAUGAUUUCAUUAAAAGCUAUGUUAAAGACCAUUCGAAAGGGAGGAUCGGGGUUCUGGGUUGAAUGCAACCAUGUAAAUGUUGCACAGCCAGUAGACCUUGCGGCUGAACAGGGGACUACAACUCCAGCCUACUUACGUCCAAUUCUGGACAAGUACAAGGAUGUUUUUCACAUGCCUCCAGGGUUGCCACCUCUACGAGGGCAUGAACACGCUAUCACCCUAAAGGCGGGGACUGAUCCCAUCAGCGUACGUCCAUACAGAUAUCCCCAAUCCCAGAAAGCGGAGAUAGAAACCCUGAUCCAGGAUAUGCUGCGGGCAGGUAUCAUUAGGGAAUCGAGUAGCCCAUUCUCGAGUCCCAUACUUUUGGUGAAGAAAAAAGACGGUUCGUGGAGAUUUUGUGUUGACUACCGGGCACUCAAUAAAGCCACAGUGCCGGACAAGUACCCGAUUCCAUCAAUCGAUGAGUUAUUGGAUGAGUUGGGAGGCGCAAGGAUUUUCUCGAAGCUGGACCUUAAGUCUGGGUACCACCAGAUUCGCAUAUGCCCGGAUGACAUCUCCAAAACAGCGUUCAGGUCCCAUGACAGGCAUUACGAAUUUCUCGUAAUGCCUUUUGGCCUUAUGAAUGCGCCCGCCACAUUCCAAGCUCUGAUGAACACCAUCUUCAAGCCGUAUUUAAGGAAGUUCGUGUUAGUUUUUUUUGAUGAUAUCCUCAUCUACAGUGCCUCCGAAGAGCAACACAAGGAACAUGUCUCUACUGUCCUGCAGACUUUAGCGGCUCAUGAGUUGUAUGCAAAUGAAAAAAAAUGUGAGUUUGGUCAGCUCCGCCUUGCGUACUUGGGCCAUGUCAUCUCUGCCCAGGGGGUGGCGGUAGAUGCUGACAAGGUUAAGGCUAUGGCAGAAUGGCCUAUUCCAGCAAAUUUGAAGGAAUUGAAAGGUUUCUUAGGCCUCACCGGUUACUACCGGAAAUUUAUCGCGGGAUAUGCUUCUAUUGCACGGCCUUUAACAGAUCAAACUCGUAAGGAUCAGUUUGGAUGGACCCCAGAUGCAACCAAUGCAUUCCACCAACUCAAGUCAGCUUUGAUGCGUGCACCCAUCUUAGCCAUGCCUGAUUUCUCUAAGGACUUCAUUAUUGAAACCGACGCUUCUGGUUUUGGGUUGGGGGCUGUCUUGCUCCAGGAGGGCCACCCCGUGGCGUAUUUUAGUAAAGUAUUGGGAGUCCGUGAGCGUCUGAAAUCCAUUUAUGAGAAAGAGUUGAUGGCCAUCGUGCUCGCUGUCCUGAAAUGGCGUCCUUAUUUGCUGGGUAGAAAGUUCAUUAUCCGCACUGAUCAGCAAAGCCUAAAGUUUCUGUUAGAACAAAGGGAGGUGGGAGCCGAGUAUCAGCGGUGGGUCAGCAAGUUAAUGGGUUUUUAUUUUGAAAUCCAUUAUAAGCCCGGAGCAUCAAACAGAGUGGCUGACGCGUUAUCAAGGGAAUUUCCUGAUCCCAUGGAUGUGUUGGUAUCUGCAGGCGGUGUUCUUUGGGGGGAGGUGCAAGCUGAGGUACAACAGGAUCCUUACAUUCAAAAACUGAUCCGUGAUGUGGAGGCUAAUAAGGGUGGGUUGACAGGGUAUCAACUGGAACAGGGGGUCCUGAAAUACAAAGGACGAGUUGUGAUUCCAAAAAACUCUCCGCUGGUGGGAAAAUUGUUACGAGACUACCAUGAUUCUCCACUGGGAGGACAUUCAGGAGACUUGAAAACUUAUCAGAGGCUGGCUUUGAAUUGGUUUUGGCCUGGUAUGCGGAAGCAGAUUUCAGAGUAUGUGCGAGCUUGCUCUACAUGCCAGCAACAGAAAACAUCGACGCUGUGCCCUGCGGGGCUGUUGCAACCCCUCCCGGUUCCGGAUAAGGUCUGGGAGGAUUUGUCUAUGGACUUUGUCGAAGGCCUUCCGAGAUCCAAAGGUGCAGAUUCUAUUCUAGUAGUGGUGGACCGGUUUACUAAAUAUGCUCAUUUUGUUCCCUUGAAACACCCCUUCUCAGCCUCUUCCAUCGCUGAAAUCUUUGUUCGCGAGAUAGUGAAACUACACGGGUUUCCUUCGACUAUUGUUUCGGAUCGUGACAAGGUUUUCAUGUCAGUCUUUUGGGGGGAACUGUUUAAGCUUCAGGGAACGGUGCUCUGUCCCAGCACUGCCUACCACCCACAAUCGGAUGGACAAACCGAGGUGGUCAAUAAGUGUGUUGAGACCUAUCUCCGAUGCUUCAUUACUGGUCAGCCAAAGGGUUGGGCUUCAUGGCUUCCGUGGGCUGAGUAUUGGUACAACACCUCAGUCCAUUCAUCAACUGGUAUGUCUCCUUUUAAGGCUUUGUAUGGGCGUGACCCCCCUACAUUGGUGAAAUAUAUACCUGGCAGCACAAGUGUGGCUUCUCUCGAGGAACAGUUGGUGGAAAGAGAUGCAGUUCUGGAUGAUCUAAAGGCCAAUCUCCUUCGUGCUCAGCAACGUAUGAAAGUACAAGAGGAUCUGCAUCGCAGAGAGGUGCAGUUUCAGGUGGGGGACCGAGUAUUUCUAAAACUCCAACCGUACCGACAACACUCGCUAGCCCGACGACCAUUUGAUAAGUUAAGUGCUCGUUUCUAUGGGCCUUUUGAGGUACUGCAGCGGGUGGGUGCUGUUGCUUAUAGACUGCAGCUGCCUCCGGAUGCCAAGAUUCACCCGGUUUUUCACGUAUCCCAGCUAAAAAAAGCCAUUGAUCCUACUACCUCUGUCCUCCAGCUUCCUUCUGUCAUCACAGAAGAUUUAGUGGUGGCCACUCUUCCUGAGAAAGUACUGGGCAUUCGCAAUAUCACUGCAGGCAACACAACCGAGUCGGAGGUGCUCAUUAAAUGGACGGGCCUGCCUGAGAGUGAAGCCACCUGGGAGCAUUUUGCUAACAUCAAUCAGAGGUUUGCAGACUUUCACCUUGAGGACAAGGUGUCACUUCUGGCCGGGAGUAAUGCUAGGGAUGGGAUAAGGGACCCAGUUCUGUUGACAUUUAAGAGAAGGGCACGGAAGGCAUAAGAAUUAAUUAGUAAGGGCAAAGAAGUAACUUCCAGG